CCAAUAGCGUAUAUUAAAGUUGUUGCAGUUAAAAAGCUCGUAGUUGAAUUUCGGGGUUAGUAGGUCGGUCAUGCCACUGGUAUGUACUGGUCUCACUGAUUCCUCCUUCCUGAUGAACCGUAAUGCCAUUAAUUUGGUGUUGCGGGGAGACUGGACUGUUACUUUGAAAAAAUUAGAGUGUUUAAAGCAGGCUAACGCUUGAAUACAUUAGCAUGGAAUAAUGAAAUAGGACGUUCGAUCCUAUUUUGUUGGUUUCUAGGAUUGACGUAAUGAUUAAUAGGGAUAGUUGGGGGCAUUAGUAUUCAAUUGUCAGAGGUGAAAUUCUUGGAUUUAUUGAAGACUAACUACUGCGAAAGCAUUGGCCAAGGAUGUUUUCAUUAAUCAAGAACGAAAGUUAGGGGAUCGAAGACGAUCAGAUACCGUCGUAGUCUUAACCAUAAACUAUGCCGACUAGGGAUCGGAUGAUGUUAAUUUUUUAAUGACUCAUUCGGCGCCUUACG
rnacentral:rRNA from 1 species